GACAGAGGGUGCAAACGUUGUUCGGAAUUACUGGGCGUAAAGCGCGUGUAGGCGGCUAAGUAAGUCGGGCGUGAAAUCCCACGGCUCAACCGUGGAAGUGCACUCGAAACUGCAUAGCUAGAGUCCUGGAGAGGAAGGUGGAAUGCUUGGUGUAGAGGUGAAAUUCGUAGAUAUCAAGCGGAACACCGGUGGCGAAGGCAGGUCUCUGGGCCACUACUGACGCUGAGAAGCGAAAGCAUGGGGAGCGAACAGG
rnacentral:rRNA from 1 species